UACGAAGGGGGCUAGCGUUGCUCGGAAUCACUGGGCGUAAAGGGUGCGUAGGCGGGUCUUUAAGUCAGAGGUGAAAUCCUGGAGCUCAACUCCAGAACUGCCUUUGAUACUGAGGGUCUUGAGUAUGACAGAGGUGAGUGGAACUGCGAGUGUAGAGGUGAAAUUCGUAGAUAUUCGCAGGAACACCAGUGGCGAAGGCGGCUCACUGGGUCAUUACUGACGCUGAGGCACGAAAGCGUGGGGAGCAAACAGG
rnacentral:rRNA from 1 species